rnacentral:rRNA from 1 species
AUUGAACGCUGGCGGCAGGCCUAACACAUGCAAGUCGAGCGGGGUUUUCGGACCUAGCGGCGGACGGGUGAGUAAUGCGUAGGAAGCUGCCCGUUAGAGGGGGAUACCAGUUGGAAACGACUGUUAAUACCGAAUAAUGUCUACGGACCAAAGCGUGGGACCUUCGGGCCACAUGCUAUCGGGUGCGCCCACGUGGGAUUAGCUAGUUGGUGAGGUAAUGGCUCACCAAGGCGACGAUCCCUAGCUGGUUUGAGAGGAUGAUCAGCCACACUGGAACUGAGACACGGUCCAGACUCCUACGGGAGGCAGCAGUGGGGAAUAUUGCACAAUGGGCGCAUGCCUGAUGCAGCCAUGCCGCGUGUGUGAAGAAGGCCUUCGGGUUGUAAAGCACUUUCAGUAGGGAGGAAGGGUUAAGUGUUAAUAGUACUUAACUUUGACGUUACCUACAGAAGAAGCACCGGCUAACUCUGUGCCAGCCGCCGCGGUAACAC